CAGUGACCAGUAUAUUAACCAAUUCAGAUAAGUUGCAAUCCAAUUUGUGCAUAUGGUAGUUUAUAAUAAAAUGUCCAAACGAACUGAUCAGGAAUUGGAGGACCAAAUUGACCUUUAAUUCUCUCUGCAUAUUAAGCUCGAGCUUCUCAAGCUCCUUAAAGUCUUUGAUCAUUAUCAUACAAUGAUCGUGGACUGACUACCAAUCG
rnacentral:lncRNA from 1 species